GAAAGCAGGGGAUCGCAAGACCUUGCGCUUUUGGAGUGGCCGAUGCCUGAUUAGCUAGUUGGUGGGGUAAUGGCCUACCAAGGCGACGAUCAGUAGUUGGUCUGAGAGGACGACCAGCCACACUGGGACUGAGACACGGCCCAGACUCCUACGGGAGGCAGCAGUGGGGAAUUUUGGACAAUGGGCGAAAGCCUGAUCCAGCAAUGCCGCGUGAGUGAAGAAGGCCUUCGGGUUGUAAAGCUCUUUCAGUCGAGAAGAAAAGGUUGUGACUAAUAAUCACAACUCAUGACGGUAUCGACAGAAGAAGCACCGGCUAACUACGUGCCAGCAGCCGCGGUAAUACGUAGGGUGCGAGCGUUAAUCGGAAUUACUGGGCGUAAAGGGUGCGCAGGCGGCUUUGUAAGUCAG
rnacentral:rRNA from 1 species